rnacentral:rRNA from 1 species
GACGGAGGAUGCAAGCGUUAUCCGGAAUGAUUGGGCGUAAAGCGUCCGCAGGUGGCAGUUCAAGUCUGCUGUCAAAGACCGGGGCUUAACUUCGGAAAGGCAGUGGAAACUGAACAGCUAGAGUAUGGUAGGGGGCAGAGGGAAUUCCUGGUGUAGCGGUGAAAUGCGUAGAGAUCAGGAAGAACAUCGGUGGCGAAGGCGCUCUGCUGGACCAUAACUGACACUCAGGGACGAAAGCUAGGGGAGCGAAUGGG